AUGCUCUGCAGCCUGCUGCAAGCACGACGAGGUGAGCAAUUCGUGAUCGCGGUAGUGCAGCUCACACGCCAUGUGGUUUGCAGCCAAGAAUUCCUUCUAUGCUUUCAAAUUUUGUUUUUUGCUGCAGGCAUCCCAUCGGUGGCGCUGCCGUCCAAUUUACGUAGUGCUCUUGCGCAGCUCCCAGUCCACCUUGAUGCCGUCCACACAGCAGGGAAGAUCAGGCAAGAACAGGGGCAUCACCGGCUAGUCAUCCAUAGGCUCGUUCUCCACCUCUCUCGAGUGGCCAUCAUCAUGCAGCUCGGCUACAAGACGCAUGCAGUUAACAACGGGAGAGAUAGUUGUGAGACUGUCGUAUGCUAG
rnacentral:rRNA from 1 species